rnacentral:lncRNA from 1 species
GGAUGGUUAGACAUAUUAAUGUGUUGACCUGAUUUAAUCAGUCGGAUGUCAGAUCUGUUAAUUUAGAAGAGACCUAAAUCCAAAUCUUCUCAUCAAAUAUUAAGUCUAGAGAUCUUCCAUCGUUGUAGAGAUGCGGAUACCUUCCUAGCGUUGAUCGUUCUAGGCUGGUUACAGUGGUUCAGUUGCAUUGGAAAGAUACAACCACUUUAUUGACAUUUAAUAUCCUAGGGUAGAGAUGGGGUUGGACCCAAUAACUAUUAGGUGAGGGUCCCAAUGA